UGGGGGAUAUUGCACAAUGGGCGAAAGCCUGAUGCAGCGACGCCGCGUGGGGGAUGAAGGCCUUCGGGUUGUAAACCUCUUUUGCUCUGAACAAGGCGCACCAUGGGGUGUGCUGAGUGUCGUGGUCGAUUAGCGCCGGCUAACUACGUGCCAGCAGCCGCGGUAAUACGUCGGGCGCGAGCGUUGUCCGGAAUUUUUUGGCGUAAGGGGCUUGUAGGUGGCUGGUUGCGUCUGUCGUGAAAGCUCAUGGCUUAACUAGGGUUUGCGGUGGGUACGGGCUGGCUUGAGUGCAGGAGGGGAGGCUGGAAUUCCUGGUGUAGAGGUGGAAUGCGCAGAUAUCAGGAGGAAUACCGGUGGCGAAGGCGGGUCUCUGGGCUGUUACUGACACUGAGGAGCGAAAGCAUGGGGAGCGAACAGG
rnacentral:rRNA from 1 species